rnacentral:rRNA from 1 species
AACGAACGCUGGCGGCAUGCCUAACACAUGCAAGUCGAACGAGACCUUCGGGUCUAGUUGCGCACGGGUGCGUAACGCGUGGGAACCUGCCCUUAGGGUCGGAAUAACUCCCCGAAAGGGGUUCUAAUACCGGAUAAUGUCUUCGGACCAAAGAUCUAUCGCCCUUGGAUGGGCCCUCGUUGGAUUAGCUCGUUGUUAGGGUAAAAGCCUAUCAAGGCGAGGAGCCACAGCUGUGCUGAGAGGAUGAUCAGCAACACUGGGACUAAGAGACGGCCCAGACUCCUACGGGAGGCAGCAGUGGGGAAUACUCGACGAUGGGCGGAAGCCUGAUCCAGCGAUGCCGGGUGAGUGAUGAAGGACUUAGCGUUGUAAAGCUCUUUUACCCGGGAUGAUAAGGCCGGUACCGGGGGAAUAAGCUCCGGCAAACUCCGU